UACAGAGGGGGCAAGCGUUGUCCGGAAUUACUGGGCGUACAGCGCGCGCAGGCGGACCGCCACGUGCCGUGUGACAAGCCACUGCUCAACAGUGGAGGGCCAGGGUACACGAGCGGUCUGGAGGCAGGGAGAGGGAUGUGGAAUGCCCGGUGGAGCGGUGAAAUGCGUAGAGAUCGGGCGGAACACCAGCGGCGAAGGCGGCAUCCUGGACCGGCAUUGACGCUGAGGAGCGAAAGCCAGGGGAGCAAACGGG
rnacentral:rRNA from 1 species